GGUGGGAUCUCUGCCAGGAAGACCUCAUCUACAUCGACACUCCUUCCGGUGAGUCUACGGUGGUCCACCCACGCACUCGAUCAUCACGCUUUGUUGGAUUCUGGGGCAGAGGGUAGUUUCAUGGACUUUAAGUUUGCUACUAAACUCAACAUUCCUCUCACCUCCCUCAAACACCCCAUUGCACCUUUUGCACUCAACGGACACAGACUGCCAGUCAUCACACAGACCACUGUACCUGUUUCCCUCAUCACAUCUGGCAACCAUACGGAGGAGAUUUCAUUUUACAUCACGGACUCACCUCAAUCCCCCAUUGUUCUCGGUCACACCUGGCUCCAGAAACACAACCCCAGGAUCGAUUGGCGCCUCGGAUCUGUGAUCCUCAUUCAUGUCUCCACUUCCUAGUUGGAUUACCGUCUUCCGUGUUCGUGUGCUGGAUUGUGUUCGUGUUGUCGUCUUUGUGUCAGUGUUCCGGUCUGUUCCUGGUUUCAUCCAUUGACCGUCUUCACCUUCACCAUCGACUUCACCAUCCAGCUCUUCUCACGCCACCGUAGACCUUCGUUUCCAUUGCCUACAUUCUGGACUCUGAUUUCAAUAAACUUCUUCUGAUUGCCUGCAAUUGCUUCCUCCUCUUUUACAAGCCGUCACACACAGAGUAUGGGGCCAUUUAGAUCAAUUUUUAAGAGCUGUGCCUCAAAGCUAGAAAAGGCAUCUACAGGCAGAAGUCUGCAUUUAAAUGAGUUCCUAAAAAUCGUUGCUAAGCCGCCACCAUGUCCACUUGGCCUAGGUGUACUGUAGAAAGAGCAGUAUUAAGGGGAUAGUUCACCAAGAGCUGAGAGUUCUCCAUUCUUUAACCAUGUUUCAGUCACGAAUAAAAAAUCCAAGGAAUGAGAGGUAAAAAAGUCAUUUAGGAUAAAAGAUUUAUUAGACAAUGAUCUAGCAUUUACUAGAGUCAUUUUAACUGUCGUUGAGGAUGAGGUAAUGCCUGGCGUAACACCUGGUGAGACAUAUUUCGGAUGACGGAGAUUCACUACAUGAGCAUUUCUAUUCUCAUGACGUGUAUUAUUAGUACGCAGUCGGCGAGAAGAAGACCAGACGACCGGUAUAGUACAUCCAUCAGAUGACUCAAACUUGUCUUCCUGGUUAUCAAAGUAAAUCUUGAGUUGAUUAACAAAGCCUCUACAUUGCUCCCCAGAUACAUCAAAUUUAUCAGGUAAUGCAAGGCUUACUGUCCUCGGCGUGGUUGAUGGAAGAGACUGGAUGUUUUGAGUCAGGUGCUCAUUGACAGACUGGAGUUUAGCCAGUUGAUCUUGGGAUCCCUUUAAUACCUUACUUUGAUAGGCGAAAGCAACUUGUAGGUUUGAAACUUUUGCUGGAUUCAGUUGAGGAGAAGUAUUCUGUAACAACGAGGUUGAGGCGGCAUUAGAAUCAAUUUGCAGAAGUUUAUUAAUAGAAGACUUGAGUGACAGAAACGUUAGGCCAGAUAGAGAGUCAAUACCACAACAGCAGUCCAAUCUUUUAACAUACACAGGGGAGAUCCAAAAGGCAGAAACGAGUAAGCAGGCAAAAGGUCCAAACACAAUCUUCAGUCCAAAUCAGGCUAUCAAUCCAAAGGGGUAAUCCAACAUACGAACAGGCAGGCAGAUAACAAUGGAAACGCUCGUUAAGGCAGGUAAACUGGCAAUACUUCGCAAUGAGCAAACACACGUGCUGCGUCUCAAUGUGCCUACUUAUACUACACCCUUAAAGUAUGUACUCUUUUGGUGAAGAAAAAGUACACAUUUGCUUGUUGAUCUGCCAGUCGCGGGUCUUUCAUGCGGAGAACUCUGCUCAUAUUUUCUGCAUAAUGAUGCAUUUAAAAGUUAACGACCAAAUGGAUGUUUAUAAAAGUUCACAUUGCUGUUGCAGAUGAAAUAUAACACGGAUAACAAUAAAUAAAUAUUUUUUUUUUACCAGGUUAAAUGUUGAUUAUUAGUAACUCAAACCCCUUUUUGUAAACUUCACUACCUAACCAUCAAUCACACAUCCGCCACGUUUGUAGUUUUUCUAACACGUUUUAUUCAUGUUUGUAAUUCUAGACCGAAUCCUUCACCAAAGAGCAAUGGAUUGUGGGCAAUUUUUGCCAUUAGAGUGUGCAUUGAUCCACACUUCAAAAAUCAACCUGAAAUAGUAGACCAUCCGGGGACUUUUGGCAUACUCUUUUCAACAUGCUAUGCUUUGGGACAAUAUAUAUAUAAAUUUAUAUAUAUAUAUAUAUAUAUAUAUAUAUAUAUAUAUAUAUAUAUAUAUAUAUAUAUAUAUAUAUAUAAAUUUAUAUAUAUAUAUAUAUAUAUAUAUAUAUAUAUAUAUAUAUAUAUAUAUGCCAUUCUACAGAAGUGGUGCAAAUUCUGGCUUGUAUUUAUUUAUUUAUUUAUUUUUUUAAUUAUUUGUAAGAUUUGUAUUGCAUUGCAUGUGAAAUGCAUAAAUUGAAUGUGGGUACACUAGAAUCUUUGUAUGUUUUUCACAAUUUCAGCAAAUUUUAAAGUGCCCCAUAAUGCUAUUUGGAAGGUUAAUAAUUUGGUUUUGGGAGUCCACAACAACAGUUUCACAAGACUGUGAUGAUGCGUUUUAGCGGUCAUCGGCAUGGUAAAUCCUCUAAAGUAUUUUAUAUUUAGAUUUUUUUUUUUUUUAAUUUAUGAACAUUUAUAACAAUAUACUUUGUAUCACAUUUGCUUCAACCUCAAGGCUGAUCAACUCUGGCCUGAGUCUCCAGAGUUCAGCUCCAGUCCUAAUUAAACACACUUACCAGUAGUUUUCAAGUAAAUCUGAAGAUUUUUACCUGGUUGGUGGGUUUGAUUGGGGUUGGAGCUUAACUCUGCAGGAUGAUGGCCCUACAAGAGCAGGGUUGGUACCAAUGUUCUGCCAUAGAUGUAAAGAUAUAGUCAUCUUAAUAUAAUAAUAUUAGUUCAAUGUGAAUAUUAACAUUUGCUAACUGCUUUUAAAUGCAAAUAUCUUUAAAUCAGAGCCAAGGCACAGGGCCAGAUCCCAUAGACAGAUAGCUCAACCACUCAGCUAUCAAUCUAUAAAAUCAUGGCCUGCUUCUGAGAAAUGUUGCAUAGUUUUUCAGUAUCAAACCAUUUUUUUUUUUUUAAAUAAAAUAACAUGGGCUGAACAAGUUUCUGUGCGUGAGUCUGUGGUUUUGUGUUUGCACUGAGAAGAGAUCAGAAUUCUUUGCUUUUUAAAUAAAUGAAAAAUAUGAUUUUUUAUAUAUAUAUAUAUAUAUAUAUAUAUUUAUAUAUAUAUAUAUAUAUAUAUAUAUAUAUAUAUAUAUAUAUAUAUAUAAAUAAUGGAAGUAAUUUGUCAUUUAUAUCCUGUUUGUCAUAUUUAUUUGCUUGAUCAGUGUCUUUUUGGUUCUUUUGCAGUGGCAAAGCUCUUUGAAAUAACUGAAAUAAAAUCAUAGAAAAAAAAAUCAAGAAUUUUAGAAAGCCACACUAUAACCUUUAAUUAUAUGUGCUGAAAAAGUUUUCUUAUCACUACAUGUCUUUUAGCCAUCAUUACUCCAUGACAUAAGAAAGAGUAGAGAGAAAUCUGUCCUCAUUAAUGAACAUCCUGCACCAUGCAUCAACAGAUCUUGGCCUUUUUUUUUUAGUAAAAAAACAACAACAACAACAAAAAAAAACACCAACAAAAAAACACUACAGUUGUAUUAUGAACUGUAAAUUAUUAAAGAACCAAAAUGCAUGCAUGUAAAUUAAAGGCUAUUAAAGACGUUUUAAAAUGAUUGUUUUAAUAAAUCUCUUUUACAUUAAAUAAUAAAGAUACAAAGCAGCUAAGUUAGAUAUUGUUGUACAAAUAAUUAUAAAUUGUUAUAGACUGCGAAUAAGAUUGCAGUUUCACAAUUUUGCAUAUGCAUUACAAAGUUAAUUAUUUUUUUACAUGCAAUGAUACAAAAAAACCCCAAUAAGAUUUGUAAUGAAGAAAAAAAUAUUAAAAUAAAAAAUAUUACAAAUAAGAAUAAAUGUUGUGCAUCGCACUCAGCUUCAUGCGUGCCGCACAAAUCUUGCACUCUGAUAUUUUAAGGAAUAGAAUACUCUCCUGCAUUUAAAUGCGGCUGCAAUUAUUUUUUUUUUUUAGUUUUACUUAAAUUGUAUGAAAGCAAGUAUGUUCUUUUCAGUUUCAAUGAUUUAGCUAAAUUGUGGCCAGGUUUAAUUUAAUUGUUUUAUUUUGGCUUAAAUAAUGGGAGCGAAAUUAUUCAGUGCAGUUUUCCUAAAAUAAUGAAAAUAAUGCAUUCUUGUGAGAGGUUUUUAAUGGGGAGAUCAUAUUACCUGGACCGAGCAUCUGCCUUACUAUUAUUACUGCCUAGGCAAUGUCGCUGUAAACUGGAAUCGGGUGAAGAAAAGGGACCAGCGAGCCUAGCAUGGGUUUAGUGGUUUGGCACUCUUGAUGUAUUCAAUAUUUUUGUGGUCAGUUGUUACUUGAAAGGGGUGGACUGCUCCUUCUAGCCAGUGUCUCCAUUGCUCAAUGCCUGCUUCCAUGGACAAGAGUUCUAUGUUCCCAACAUCAUAGUUUCUUUCAGCUGC
ensembl:lncRNA